AACGAACGCUGGCGGCAGGCCUCAAACAUGCAAGUCUAGGGGGUGUAGCAAUACAUCACCGGCGGACGGGUGCGUAACACGUGGGAAUAUACCUUUUGGUUCGGAACAACGCAGGGAAACUUGCGCUAAUACCGAAUGUGCCCUUACGGGGAAAGAUUUAUCGCCAAAGGAUUAGCCCGCGUAGGAUUAGCUAGUUGGUGAGGUAAUGGCUCACCAAGGCUCCGAUCCUUAGCUGUUCUGAGAGGAAGAUCAGCCACACUGGGACUGAGACACGGCCCAGACUCCUACGGGAGGCAGCAGUUGGGAAUAUUGGACAAUGGGCGAAAGCCUGAUCCAGCAAUGCCGCGUGAGUGAUGAAGGCCUUAGGGUUGUAAAGCUCUUUUACCCGGGAUGAUAAUGACAGUACCGGGAGAAUAAGCCCCGGCUAACUCCGUGCCAGCAGCCGCGGUAAU
rnacentral:rRNA from 1 species